AUUGAACGCUGGCGGCAUGCCUUACACAUGCAAGUCGAACGGUAACAGGUCUUCGGACGCUGACGAGUGGCGAACGGGUGAGUAAUACAUCGGAACGUGCCUAGUAGUGGGGGAUAACUACUCGAAAGAGUGGCUAAUACCGCAUGAGAUCUACGGAUGAAAGCAGGGGAUCGCAAGACCUUGUGCUACUAGAGCGGCCGAUGGCAGAUUAGGUAGUUGGUGGGAUAAAAGCUUACCAAGCCGACAAUCUGUAGCUGGUCUGAGAGGACGAUCAGCCACACUGGGACUGAGACACGGCCCAGGCUCCUACGGGAGGCAGCAGUGGGGAAUUUUGGACAAUGGGCGAAAGCCUGAUCCAGCAAUGCCGCGUGCAGGAUGAAGGCCUUCGGGUUGUAAACUGCUUUUGUACGGAACGAAAAGCCCCGGGUUAAUACCCUGGGGUCAUGACGGUACCGUAAGAAUAAGCACCGGCUAACUACGUGCCAGCAGCCGCCGCGG
rnacentral:rRNA from 1 species